ensembl:snoRNA ZK858.10 ncRNA
ACAAUUCACAGUUUAAGAUUCCGUCCAUUCGUAGAAGUUCAAACGACUCUAGUGUACGGUAUCGAAAACAAUGAAGCGUGAUUGUAUGCGAUGUUCUGUCACGAUAAUGAGAUAAUAAUCGCUUUCUAAUAAUGUGCUAGGUGUUCUGGCUUGGAAAUAAUAAUAUCAGU